GGGGCCUUAGUUUAAUAAAAAUGUUUGAUUUGCAAUUAUAAGAUGUGGAGUGAAAUCUACAGGCCCUA
rnacentral:tRNA from 1 species